GACAGAGGGUGCAAACGUUGUUCGGAUUCACUGGGCGUAAAGGGUGCGCAGGCGGCCGAGUGUGUGAGGCGUGAAAGCCCGGGGCUUAACCCCGGAAUUGCACCUCAAACUACACGGCUAGAGCAUUGGAGAGGGUAGCAGAAUUCACGGUGUAGCAGUGAAAUGCGUAGAUAUCGUGAGGAAUACCAGAGGCGAAGGCGGCUACCUGGACAAUUGCUGACGCUCAGGCACGAAAGCGUGGGGAGCAAAAGGG
rnacentral:rRNA from 1 species